ACCAAAAACAAAACUUCAAAAUCAACUAAGAAGAAAUUAGAAAUGGGCUUUUAUCGGGUACACUAAAAGCUCUCACAAGAUCAAAGACCAGAUUCACAAACAGUACAAGAAAAAGGAAAGUGUUAUGAUUAACACCCAUGCACACCAACACGAGUGUCCCAGUAAAACAUGAGAGCUUCACAGGGUUCAUGCAAGACAGGAGUGGUCAGAAUCUUCAACCCUCUUCCUCCAAGGGGAAAGACUGAGACCUAGCGCCCACCCCAAGGGUUCUGACAGAAGCCAUCUAGGAAAGGCCACGGCAAGCAGGCAAGUUUCCUGAGCAGGCCCCUCGAUGGGAGAACCCAGACUUUAUCCAGAGCAAGUGUUUCUGAUUGUGACAUCACAAUCAUGAAACGUGUCACUAGGAAGCAAGACUCUGUCAGGGAACGACCAACAAGAUGGGCUACUUGGAGCAUCUCCUGAGUGGCACUGAGCGGAGGUGUCAAGGGGUGGGAGCCCUGUAAAAGGGAAUGUGCCCCCACCACUUAGAAGGGCCUGUGUUUCCGAGAUGACGCAUGAGAUAUGAUGUAACCUGUUUCCAAGGGGUGUUGACGGAAAUCUCAUCUGCCCUAUUUGCAGUGGGGUCUUGGAGGAGCCAGUAUAGCCUGGAGGUGUCUAAAGAGGAGCUACCAAGCCACAAAUACAUUGAGCAUAUUCAAUCCCUGAUACAGCAGCCACAGGCAAACAUUGCAGGGGUGGAGGUGACCCAGCUGAGCAUAGGCACCAGAGCAGGAGUGAGGCAUCCAACUACCAAAGGACAUAUGCACAAUCCCAGUGUCAACUCCGACCCUGCAAAAACCCAAAGGGGACAAUUGUCUACAAGACCCUCCACUGAGAGAACUCCCUACUGCCAGCAAGAGUGACCUGCUGGGGAGGGAUGAUCGGGGACCUGAUGCUCCAGCUUUAAUCAAGCACUCCCUGGUGGAGACUGGCUACCCAGCCUCUACUGUCAAUGCUACGAAUGCCUACUAAUGCCUACUAAUGUAACUGGCCCCUGGGGUCUGGUCACACGAGGGAUGAGGAGGAUGAACCAGCGCUACUGUGAACAUCAUGUGAACAAAGCUGAGGACUGAACCCAGGGCCUUGCAUUUGCUAGGCAAGCGCUCUACCACUGAGCUAAAUCCCCAACCCCAGAUCAAGCCAUUUUUAAAAAAUAUAUAAUAAUCAAAACAGUAUAAUGUAAUAAAGAUCACUCAAAACUU